GUUCCGCUGGUGCGUGGUGCACGCCUGCAAUUUAUAGAGCAUUUCCGUGUUAAUUGUGCAGGAGGCCUCCGUUCGACUCGGGGGCGGGACA